rnacentral:misc_RNA from 1 species
GAAAUGCGAUAAGUAAUGUGAAUUGCAGAAUUCAGUGAAUCAUCGAAUCUUUGAACGCACCUUGCGCUCCUUGGUAUUCCUUGGAGCAUGCCUGUUUGAGUAUCAUGAAAUCUUCAAAGUAAAUCUUUUGUUAACUCAAUUGGUUUCUACUUUGGUAUUGGAGGUCUUUGCAGCUUCACACCUGCUCCUCUUUGUUCAUUAGCUGGAUCUCAGUGUUAUGCUUGGUUCCACUCGGCGUGAUAAGUUAUCUAUCGCUGAGGACACUGUAAAAGGUGGCCAAGGUAAAUGCAGAUGAACCACUUCUAAUAGUCCAUUGACUUGGACAAUACUUUUAUGAUCUGAUCUCAAAUCUGGUAGGACUACCCGCUGAACUUAAGC